ACCCCUGUGAGAAUGCCCUACUUAUACCUUUCAAGGAAAAAAGGAGCAGGCAUUAGGCACAACCCUCAGUUAGCCCACAACGCCUUGCUUAGCCACACCCCCAAGGGAGAGCAGCAGUAAUAAAUAUUAAGCAAUAAGUGUAAGCUUGACUUAGUUACAAUCAAGAGGACCGGUUAAACUCGUGCCAGCCACCGCGGUUAUACGAGAGGUCCAAAUUGACAGACGCCGGCGUAAAAUGUGGUUAUAUAAUAGUUUACUAAAGCCAAACACCCUCAAAGCUGUUAUACGCACUCGAGGGCAGGAAGAACCCCCACGAAAGUGGCUUUAAAAAUUUAAACCACUAAAGCUAGGGAACAAACUGGGAUUAGAUACCCCACUAUGCCUAGCCCUAAACAUAAGCAACUACAUAUACAUACUUGCUUGCCCGGGGACUACGAGCCUCAGCUUAAAACCCAAAGGACUUGGCGGUGCUUUAGACCCCCCUAGAGGAGCCUGUUCUAGAACCGAUAAUCCCCGUUUAACCUCACCCUCCCUUGUUCCUCCCGCCUAUAUACCGCCGUCGUCAGCUUGCCCCGUGAGGGAUAUACAGCAGGCACAAUUGGCAAAGCCUAAAACGCCAGGUCGAGGUGUAGCUUACGAGAGGGGAAGAAAUGGGCUACAUUCCCUGACCCAGGGAAUAACGGAAAAUGGUUUGAAACAACCAUUUGAAGGAGGAUUUAGCAGUAAGAAAAGAAAAGAGUGCCUUUCUGAAACCGGCCCUGAAGCGCGCACACACCGCCCGUCACUCUCCCCAAAACACACAAACAAAUAAAUAAAGAGUAAUUAAAAUAAAGGGGAGGCAAGUCGUAACAUGGUAAGUGUACCGGAAGGUGCACUUGGAAAAAC
rnacentral:ncRNA from 1 species